rnacentral:tRNA from 1 species
CACUAAGUGACUGAAAAGAAAGUAAUGGUCUCUUAAACCAAAUUAUAGUAACUAUCGUUUACUCUUAGUGA